GGAGGUAGCUUGGUGGCCGAGCCUCUGCCUUGCAUGCAGAAGGUUCCAGGUUCAAUUCCCAGCAUCUCCA